ensembl:misc_RNA Metazoa_SRP Metazoan signal recognition particle RNA
GCCAGGCGUGGUGGCUCACGCCUGUAAUCCCAGCACUUUGGGAGGCAGAGGCAGGUGGAUCACCUGAGGUCAGGAGUUCGAGACCAGCCUGACCAACAUGGAGAAACCCUGUCUCUA